GAUGAACGCUGGCGGCGUGCUUAACACAUGCAAGUCGAACGGUGAACCCGGAGCUUGCUCUGUGGGAUCAGUGGCGAACGGGUGAGUAACACGUGAGCAACCUGCCCCUGACUCUGGGAUAAGCGCUGGAAACGGCGUCUAAUACGGGAUAUGUGACGUGACCGCAUGGUCUGCGUUUGGAAAGAUUUUUCGGUUGGGGAUGGGCUCGCGGCCUAUCAGCUUGUUGGUGAGGUAAUGGCUCACCAAGGCGUCGACGGGUAGCCGGCCUGAGAGGGUGACCGGCCACACUGGGACUGAGACACGGCCCAGACUCCUACGGGAGGCAGCAGUGGGGAAUAUUGCACAAUGGGCGCAAGCCUGAUGCAGCAACGCCGCGUGAGGGAUGACGGCCUUCGGGUUGUAAACCUCUUUUAGCAGGGAAGAAGCGAAAGUGACGGUACCUGCAGAAAAAGCGCCGGCUAACUACGUG
rnacentral:rRNA from 1 species